GUCCGGUUCGUGGGGACGCGCUGGGGGAGGCCGCCCUGCGGCGGCGGGGCCGUCAGCCGCAGUUCGGGUGCGGAGGCCCGUACGGGACG
rnacentral:tRNA from 1 species